GGAUGUUUAGCUUUUUCAUUAGAGAUGCAUCUGGUUUUUUAGAUGGCAACUUGGAUUGAGUUGGCAUCCGAAGAAAUGGUAGAGACAACUUUAUAGGUAGUCGAAGAACCAGCUUCUUGAGUGUCGAAGAAGCCGACUUCUUGUCUGAGAACCGAUUUGAGCGGAAAGUCCAACCCAAAUUGCAACAUACAGCAGCCUGAGAGCAUACUGUGAAGUGACAAAUAUGGCUGUUAUCUCUUACAUUGUCUCAACUCAUUUACCCUUUUAUGGCCAUGCCAACUGGAGCAAGAGUGGAUGCAAUAUAAAAUCAGCCAGCGCUGUCCCUAUGCUUUGGUCCGGGGCACGAGUGUUUGCAUCCGUAGCUCCAAUCAGUUUCUGUUAUUUGGCAUAUUCCUUUGUUGCAGACCAAUGUCACAUUCCAUUGGAAGAAUCGUUGUCUGUUCUUGAUGUUGGAAUGUCGUACAAUGCCAUUUUGUUUUAGUGGUCUGCUACAAAGACAGUCCUUUGAUUAUCUUUGCUGGCAUUUCAUUGGUUGAAUCGUUCUCUUUCAUUAAACAGUAAAGCGGGGCACACAAGACAAGUCUCAUAAUUCUAUUUUAUUCAACUAGGAUAGCGAGUAACUUGUUAGCUUCCGAAGUUAAUAUUUCUUUAAAAGAUUCCCUUCAAUUUCGGCCAUGAAAAAUACCUUCCUUUUGGCUUUGCCGUGACAUCUGUAUUCUGUACCUUUGGAAAGAAUCAUGUUUCCAAAAGGUUGGUGAAUUUUUCAGCUCAAGGUCUGUUUCUUUCUGUUUCAUUUGUAAUUAGACUCAUAUGAUUAGGCAUUAUUUGGCGGGUUUCUCUGUUGCUUAGGAGCCAGGUAUCUUUGAAUCGGCACAGGCCCAAAAGAAAAUCUAUUGCAUGCUAUAUUACUUGCUGGAGGCAACAAGAAACUGCAAUUCAAGUGCAGUAACUGGUCUCCUAAAUCAUUAAUGAUUUCACUUUGUUGCUAACAUACGAUCAACCUUGUCCCUCUUCAUAUACCUUCUUCUCAUCGUAACUUGGACAUCAUCAGUCCUAGAGGACAAAGUGAACUACGUUGCUCAAAUAGCUUACUGUAAUUUUACUGGCUUAUUUUAAGCUCAAUUCAAAUAGCUUGGGAAGCUUUGUAUGAGUCGACCUCAAGCCUAGUAAUAAUUCCCUCAUGCUACCGUCUGCUUAAUAGCCUUAAGAACACGUCACUAGAAGAGAUGACAGACUUCUAAAGUAUAUACAUUGAAACACAGGCAUAUGAUAUGAACUGCAGAUCAUAAGGUAACGAGUAGGAUAAUAAUCUCUUCUUAAUGGAUAGCCCUGAGAUUUUACUCAAUCACUGCAAGAUUUAAAAGAAGGAACAAAUCAUAUACGCCAAACCUUAAUCCAACUAUGAUAGGGUUGACAGGCGACUACGUUUAUUUUUGGGGUUUCAGCUGCACUAAAGAUAUUAUGCAUUGCAAAUUUUCUUGCAAUAAUUGAGCGCAUCCAAUCAAAUACAUAAAAGGAUCUAGAUUUCUUCGUACUUGUAUCUCUAAAGCUGCCUGCUAUGGGCCAUGCUUUGCUGUGGUGGGUGGCCCAUUGGCACGGCACGUCACAGCCCACAGCAUCAUUGGGCCGAGCUGGGCACAACCCAUGCGCCGGCAUGGCCCAAUAGUGUCGUGCUUCGUGCAGGGCCAGCUCGCCCUGGCAAUUCGUUUGGAAACCUUUCAGUUGUUCCGCAAUAACCCGACAGUUAUACGGUUGCACGUUAGCUGCAUCGAUCAAAUUUACUUAACAUGAUCAAUAAUUCCUUUGAAGCAUCUAUAUAAUCAUCGAAGUCAAUCUUCAGGUCCAUAAAUUCUAGAGUGUACUUUGAUUUCGCACCCCAGGUAGCACGUAAUGAUGCCCCCACAGAUCAUUAUAUGACCAUACUUGUGUUCCUCAUUUACAAUAUCCGUGCCGUAUAACGUCGGGGCUGAUUCUAGCCAAAUUUUAUCAUCACGCAUGGCUGUUAAUCUCCAGUCUUCGCAUGCCUCGCUGGCGAAAAACUUGCUCAAAUUUUUCAGAAUCAAUGUCGACUAGCGUAUCCAGCAUGUGACCCUCAUCACCUAUGCGCCUUCUUUUUGAACUUUUGAAUGUAAAAGUUGGAACAUUUGACCUUGAAUUCGCAUGCCAUGCUGACUUGAAUAAGGUGGAGUGUCUCUGCGGCUCCAAGUUUAGGACAUGACAGAACCUUUGCUGUCCCAAUCUGUGCCAAUCGGCGUGUUCAACUUGACAUUGACUUUCUAGCAUGUGUUUGGAAGUCAUCUGGGGGCAUUGACAUCUUCAGGCACUAACGGUAUUCAGAAGACAAACUGAAAGGCAUUAUUAACAAUUAACUGCCAAGGCAUUUGGGCUAAGGGGUUGGACAGCAUACGUACUCUCCACGUUGAAAGCUUUUAAGUCCAAUUACUCCAAUCGGAGCAACACAAGUUUAUUCCUCCCCCAAGAAAAUGGAUCCAAGGCUGUACCGAUAUGCAUACUCCGGAGAUAUUCACUCCCUCAAGGAGCUUCUCGAUAGAGAUCCAAGCAUACUCCUGAGGCACACUCCUCAAGGAAACACAGCCCUCCAUGUUGCCGCUAGAUCUGGAAAAACGCCAGUUUUCGUAGAGAUCUAUAGUCGCUGCAAGUCCCUUCUCGUGCAGUCGAAUUCUGAGGGAGACACUCCUCUGCAUGUAGCUUCAAGGGCUGGCCAUCUUUCUGUUGUGAAGUUUCUAGUCACAGAGAUCACAUCAACCUCUCCAUUUCAGCUAACAUUGAAAGCGGCUGCGACGGCAGGAUUGAGAUGCUAAGAUGGGGAAAUAAAAGGAACAACACAUUCCUGCAUGAGGAGAAUCCCCGCUGUACCUGGCUGCUAGAGGGGGCGUGAAAGAGAUUGUAAAUUGGAUCUUGACAUCAUGCCCUUUAUCUGCUCACGGUGGAUCAGAUGGCCAGACAGCUUUGCACGCUGCUGUUUGUGCGAGACAUUCUGCCAUGCUUUUCAUCAAGACAGUCCUGGCGUAGAAACUCCCGAUCACUACUGGCUGCACUGCUAUCAUCACCAGGGCUAGUCUCCAUGUGAGCACAAAUCCUAGACCGUAAGCAAAAAAAACCC